AAGGAUCACCAGCUUCUACCUAUAAGACUUCAACUCAAGAUGCAGUAUGGAGGGGCUCCCGGAGGGCCUGCGUUUCCCGGACAAACUCAGGAUCCGCUGUAUGGUUACUUUGCUGCUGUAGCUGGACAGGAUGGGCAGAUAGAUGCUGAUGAAUUGCAGAGAUGUCUGACACAGUCUGGCAUUGCUGGAGGAUACAAACCUUUUAACCUGGAGACUUGCCGGCUUAUGGUUUCAAUGCUGGAUGUAUCCUUUACCUUGAUUGUUGUCUAGAAUAAUUUUUUCUAAAAUUCUAAAGGAAUUCAUCUUAGAAUUAAUAUCUAGUAAACACAAAGUAAUAAAUGAUCACUAAAAAGCUUUCUGAAAUAAUUAGCUUCUAUUAUAGGGUGGAAUUUGGUGUGAAUAAAGGAAGAAAAGAAGUUUAGUAAACAGAAUGUUGUUCAGGAAUUUAAGGAAACAUCAGAGUAUUAUAGAACAAGUACAGAGUCCAGAGUGUCAGGACAGCUUUUUUUCUUUAACAUUGAUUCCUCUGCAAGUGAUGGCAUUUUUCACAUCCCAGU
rnacentral:sRNA from 1 species